AUGGGAUAUGGCACCCUACAUCACAAAGCACCCGUGCCGUUGUCAUGACAGUGGGUCUCAACCCCAGUCCUCUCCAACUGAAACUUGUCCAGCCUUUGCUCCUUCAUAGAGAAUGUCAUUAACACCAUGACCCACAGCGGAGGAAGGCAUUUCCUUGAUUAGCUCUAUUCUCCCAGCAAGUCCGUCUCACCUCUGCCCUGGUAGUGGAAAAACAAACAUGUUACCUAGCACAGUGAGCUCACACCUUGAAUCCCAGCACUUGAGGAGGCAGAGGCAAGCGCAUCUCUGUGAGUUCGAGGCCAGCCAGGACUACAAAGUGAGACCCUCUCAAAGCAAAACACCAACAGAGAUGCCCCUGUCUGUUGUGAGCAAAGAAACCCAGAGUGGAGCUGACUGAUGGAAGCAUGUCCUACUACGGCGAGUCUUCGGUGGUGUGUGAGCCACCAGUGUCCUUAUUGUCUAAAGGAUGCCAAGCACAGGAGAAAGGAAUCGGAUGUGUUUUCAAAAGCCUAGGAGAGUCCCUGCCUGCAGCAGAUGCUCACAAGCCCUGAGAUGGAAACGGUCUAGCCUGUGCUUAAUGUCCAGAAAUUCAUACAGCAGGGACCUCUGAGCAAGAUCAAGGUGUGUGUCUCUUCCACACUCCCCAGAGUACCUGACAUGUUAGGCCCUUGGGCUCAAAAUAAACUCUCAUCUGUAUAAAAUGUUGGGAGGACCUGGGGCUUGAAUCUAAACACCUUUUUUUUGAUUUUUUUUUUUUUUUGGUUCUUUUUUUCGGAG
rnacentral:sRNA from 1 species